rnacentral:lncRNA from 1 species
CGGCCCGGAACACGCGCUUUUCCCUUUCUCUGCAAGCGGGAAAGGCCUGUUCACCAGGCGGGCAGGCGGCGGGGCCUCGGCUGAAACCCGAGCUCCCUGCGAUCUCCGCUGCGAGAAGGGGCGGGCUGGGAGAAUUCCUGAGAAAAGCCCCUCUGGAAAAAACCAAACCCUCCGAAAGACGAGGGCCUGCCCCUCCCCCGGCCCCUCCACACCGCCCGCUCAGCCCUCACCUGCGACCCAGCCUGGGCCUGGCCGCCUUCCCCGCCCCCACUCUUCGGCUCCAUCUCCCUGACCUUUCCGAGGCCUGGGCUGGGGUGCCUCGGAGGAAAUGAAAUUGUUCUGGAGAUUACAGUGGGGCUUUGGGCCAGAAGCACCCCCGCCUUCUCAUGCUUGCAUGUUAAAUGCAAACUUGUAUCUCUUGUCACAAGAAUGGCCAAAUUUUCUCGCUUAUUUGCAGUUUUGCAAAGUGCUACACACAGAUCAGGGAACCUGAAGGCCUACGGAGACCCACGUUGUGCAGGCUCUGGGAAGCAGAUCCUCCUGCAGAAAUAUUGCUGUCCUUGGGAGCGUGGAAGCCAGCCAUCACUGUGAUGGAUAGACAAGAGGACCGUGGCAGAGAAAGGAGCAGAUUUUAAUGAAAGAAGAAUUGUGCAAAAGCCACUGCUUUGUCCCAGAACUGAAACAAAGACUAACACACAGGAAAGAUGCAGCCUCUCCAAAAUGCCCUCUUCUCUGAUUUGGGAGCGAAGUGCCUGGAGUCACCAGCCCAUAAUUGUGGUUGAUAUUUAAUCCUCCUUGGUACAAAGCUCAUCUUUCCUCUACGCAGGAGUACCAUUGAGAUAUGACUAACCUUUAGGGUUAUAUCCCAAACCGGGAGUCCGGGGCUUACACUCAGAUUGCCUGGGCCUCUUCUAACCUGAACAAAAAGGAUUUGAAGAAAAUCACAUUUUUUCCCCCUUCGCAACAAAGCAUUCCUAAUCACUUCAGCUCGUUGGUGAAUUUUUAUUCCCGUGUCCACUUGGGGUAUUGAAAUCGAUCGCCGCAAUAUUUAAUAUAUUACACUCCUAGGGUCAUUGCUCUCCUAAGACCAAAUUCUCUCCCUUUUGCCCUCAACUCAGCCUGGCUUCUAUCCUCCCAGUCCCAUCUGUCCAGGCCCUCCAUUUAUCUGUCCACACAACGCCUUUAAUUCCCAGCCCAGCCAGACAACUUCACGUUUAUUCUGUUUUCUUCUGGUAUGGAAAAUUCUGAAAGCUGUAGGCAGCAGUGCACUUAAAAGGGAAAACGAGGAGUUCAGUAGAUUGCAGAAAAUUAACCUGCCACAAACAACCUCAUUAAAGCACUGCCUACCAAGAGUUAAGAAUUAAUAGCAAAAUGGAUGGGAAAAAAACCCUUGAGUGAAGAGACCUUAAACCUCUUCCCCUGGAAGGUGCAUAAUUUACAAGCCCACCCUAACAUUCACUUUUACUUCCCUUUCCUAGUGAUCUGUCCCAUAACCUUGUAAUCCACUGCUGGGGCGUUUUCUCUUUGGUCCUUUUCUUCUUUUUUUCACACACCUGUAGGUUUGCAAGUUCGAAUACUUUCUCAUAUUUUUUUGUUCAAAAAUGCACUUAUAUUGUUUGGAGCCUUUUAAUUUAGAGAGACACUUUAAGAGACUCCUGGAAUACCCUUUGGGAGUCCUUAGAUGAUUUGAAGAGUGCCCUUAAAAGAAUUGUGUUUGGAUAGGAGGGGGUGUGUGGUAAGAUCACGCAGAAAAGAAGCCUGAAAAACCAGAAUGAGGGCAUUUUGGAGGUGUAGGGUUCUGACAGUGCUGUGCUUUCUUCUGCACAUGAACUUCGUAUUUAAGUAAAGCCCAUGUACACGGGCUUUAAGUUGCUUUUCUAAUAAAAAUUGGGCAGUGUGUUCUCUAUUGGCAUUUUAUAUGCAUAAUCUCAUUUCGAUGCAGAGCUGCAUACUAAAUCCUGGAGCAGGCAGAUGAGAAUGCUGUAUUACACUCAAUUUCAUUGGCUUCAAUGAGACUUGCACAUUGCCAUUUCCAUUGUAAUGGCUUAUCUUUGGCUGGAAUUUUACACAUUGACAUGCUAUCCCUUCUUUGGCCGGGAUCCUGAAUGAAGAAACCCUGUCAAUGGAACAGCCAUAAUGAUUCCAUUCACAUUAUAG